rnacentral:rRNA from 1 species
UACGUAGGUGACCAGCGUUGUCCGGAUUUACUGGGCGUAAAGGGCGCGUAGGCGGUCGUGACAAGUCACUUGUGAAAUCUCCGGGCUUAACUCGGAACGGUCAAGUGAUACUGUCGGACUAGAGUACAGAAGGGGCAACUGGAAUUCUCGGUGUAGCGGUGAAAUGCGUAGAUAUCGAGAGGAACACCUGCGGCGAAGGCGGGUUGCUGGGCUGAUACUGACGCUGAGGCGCGAAAGCCAGGGGAGCGAACGGG